UUUCUCUCACCCCCCCCCUCUUGGCUUUUAUUUUCUCUCUCUGUCUCUCCUUUGGAAAUACUUCUUCCACUUAUGCUUUCUUGAUAUUUAUGCAUAUCGAAGCACUCAAUAAAUACAGUAGGCUAGUUACUACACUACAAGCUGUGCAAAUCAUUGAUAGAAGCCUCCUACCGUCAGCUCAGUGUUUGGAUGUUACCUCAUCGCAUCUCAUCUGCAUAUAUACGUAUGUUUUAUAUUUAUAGAACCUCUCAACCUUCUUUAAACAAUGAAACAAAUGACACAAAAAAAACAACGAUGACAACAACGACGACAACGACAAUAACAACAAUGGUAACAGCACCUUAGAUGUCACAAAUUGAAAUAUAGGGGGAGGUUGGGGCAGAAUAAAACAAAACAAGAAGUAAAAAAUAAACAGACCAAAAAAAAAACCAAAGUAUCUAAAAAGGACCUAACACACACACACACACACACACACACAUACACACACAUACAUACAUAAAUAUGCAUGCACGCUCACACAUAUGCACACAUAUGAACAUGCACACGUAUAAACAAACGGACACAAACACACACACAUGCAAACACACAAACAUACAAACACUAGCACAGACAAACACACACACAUACACACACGCAAGCACACACAUACACACACAAGCAUACAUACGCAUGCACGAUCACACAUAUGAACAAAUACACAUAUAAACAAACACACAUAUGCAAACACACAUACAUACAAACACUGACACACACAAACACACACACACACAAACACACAUGCAUACACACACACACACAUGCAUACACACACCACACAUGUCAAUACAUAUGCCUUCAUACAUUCAUACAUUCAUGCACACACAAACACAGACAACAAAUAAAAUAAGAAACCAACCAACAAACAGACAAGCAAAACAAAUCACCCCCCACUAAAGUAUUUACAUCUUAAAUCAUAAAAAAAGCGGGGGUUGGAGUUUAUCAAUACUACUCAUCCACCCCCAUCACAACCAUCAUCUACUGCAAGAGAAAAAGUCAUUAAUGAUUCUGUACCCAUUAGCUUAGAAAUUUCUUCACCUCUCCUUUCAUUUCCAUUCAUUUCAUUUCUAAUUUUAUCUUUUGACAUUAAGAUUUUUGUAUUUCUACUCCUUGUCCGUUUGUCUGUUCGUCUGUGACUGCCUUUCAUUCAUUCUCAUAUUUUUUCUUUAAUUUUUUUAAAUAUCAUAUAUAUAUAUAUAUAUAUAUAUAUAUAUAUAUAUAUAUACAUAUAUAUAUAUAUAUAUAUAUACACAUACAUAUGUACAUAUAUACAUAUAUCUAUAUAUAUAUAUACAUAUAUAUAUAUAUAUAUAUAUAUAUAUAUAUAUAUAUAUAUAUAUAUAUAUAUAUAUAUAUAUAUAUUUAUACACACACACAUAUGUGUAUGAUGCGUGUGUAUAUAUAUGUUUUUAAUUGAAAUUCUUCAUUGGUAAUUUCCAUUUUAAUGAACUGUCAGCUUCCUUAAAAUACGAAAUCCAAACCAAAUCAAAGGUUAGACAGGAAAUUUUUGCUACUAGUUGGAGUUAUAUGGAUAUGACAAAAGGAAUCAUUCACUGCUGCUCUAGUAUCACGCAUGUACUACUACAAACAAAAUAUUUUAAAGGAAUCACAGGCAGAACUUGGAUAUUUGUUUUUUUUUCCUAUUUUGAUUUUCCUUUCCCCUGUCAUGCCCCUACCUCAACUAUUGGAAUAUCCUCCAUUUUAGACUCCUUUUUCUAUGAUUCCGUUUUAUAGUUGUUGUUUUUGUUUUUCAUUCACCUGUAUUCAUGCUUCAUUAAUUUGGUUUGUAUCUCGUAUGUGAAAUUUAAUGCAAAUCAUUCAUACCUGCUGCUUUUCCAUUUUCUUUUUUUUUUUUUUACUUCACCUUCAAUGUUUUGUAGUUUGUUUAUUUCACCUUUCACUUCUAACAGAAGCCUGUUUAUAAUGAACCAACGUGGGAAGAAUCUGUGUAUGGUUGCUCAGCACCUACUAAAAAUAACAGCCAAAUCUCUCUUAAAUCAUACCAACCUCUGCUAUCUUAGAAAAGAAGAUAUUGUGGGCGAUAGUAUGGUCUUGAGUUCCUUGAACAUAGGAAACAAAUUAGAUAAAAUCACUUUGAUCGCAGAUCAGCUAGAUCAGGGUUAGCCUGGCACUAAACGAUAACAGCAACAACAACAACUUUGAGUUACAUUAUUUACAUUCGACGGAUAUUUGUCCUCAUCUUGUUUGUUGUUAACCACUACGCCAUAUGCCCAUGGGCAUAUAGCAUAGUGGUUAAGAGUGCAGGCUACUGACCCCGAGAUUCCGAGUUCAAUUCCAAGCAGUGACCUGAACAACAACAACAACAACAGUAAUAAUAAUGAUGAUGAUGAUGAUGAUAAUAAUAAUAAUAAUAAUAAUAACAACAACAACAUCAAAAGAUACCUUAGGAAUGAGAACCCAGGUUCGAAAUUUCCCCAAGACACCUGAAGAAGGCUGGAGGGUAUAUCAGCUGAAACAUUGUGUUAACAACAAACAAGAUGAGGACAAAUAUCUGUUGAAUGUAAAUAAUGUAAAUAAUGUACAUAAUUCCUCAUCUUUAAAAUAUAGAACUGAACUUUGAGUUAGUUAUGAGACAAGGGAGCUCCUACAUAGUCACUCAGCCUGCUAUAAAUAGCAGACAAAUAUCUCUAAAAUCAAACGCACUGUUGUCUUAACCCUUUAGCAUUUAAAUCAGCCAUACCCGGCCGAAAUAUUAUGCUUGUUUUAUCUUCAAACUGGCCAGGUCCAGCCUCGCACACCUAUCCUACAAUGUCAUUCUAAAAAUUAACAACCACAUCAUUGAAUUCUCAUAGUUACAAGAUUUUUUCUGGCACCCCAUCGGUUACGACGAUGAGGGUCCCAGCUGAUCCGAUCAACUGAACAGCCUGCUCAUGAAAUAAACGUGCAAGUGGUUGAGCACUCCACAGACACAUGUACCCUUAACAUAGUUCUCGGGGAGAUUCAGUGUGGCACAGAGUGUGACAAGGCUGGCCCUUUGAAAUACAGGUACAACAGAAACAGGAAGAAGGAGUGAGAGAAAGUUGUGGUGAAAGAGUGCAGCAGGGAUCACCACCAUCCCCUGUUCGUCACCACCCCCUGCCGGAGCCUCAUGGAGCUUUAGGUGUUUUUGCUCAAUAAACACUCAUAAACCGUGAUUCUAUGACCAUGAGUCCACUGCCUUAACCACUGGGCCAUUGCAAGACAAUGCACGAUUAAUUCACAAUGUAAAUAAAUAAGCAUUGCAUGUGACAGAGCAAUCUGAAUGCUAAAAGGGUUAAAGAAGCUACAUAGAAUAAUAUAGCUGUGGAUGAAUUAGAAGGGAAGGUCACAGCUGGAUUGCCUUUGAUGAUUAUGUGUUGAUUUACUUGAUCAAAGUUGACCUAGGGUUGAACAACCAACCAAUUCAAAAUCCACUAUAUUCUACUAUAGUCUCAGGCCGACCAAAGCCUUGUGGCUGGGAUUUGGUAGAUAGAGACUAAAAGAAACCUAUCGUAUAUGUGUUUGUAUGUGUGUGUGUGUGUGUGUGUGUGUGUGUGUGUGUGUGUGUGUGUGUGUGGACGUGUGUGCGCAUGUGUAUCUCUGUGUGUAUGUCUUUGGGCCUGUGCUUGUCCCACCCACCCACCGCUUGACAACCGGUAUUGGUGUGUUUAUAUCCCUGUAACCUAGCAGUUCAGCAAAAGAGGCUGAUAGAAUAAGUAUUAGGCUUAAAAAAAGAAAAAAUGUCCUAAAGUCAACAUGUUCAACUAAAACCCUUCAAGGUGGUGCCCCAGCAUGGCCACAAUCAAAUAACUGAGAUAGGUAAAAGAUAAGAGAUAAAUUAUAUAUAUAUUUUAUAUUCUUCUUUUCUUUUACUUGUUCUAGUCAUUUGACUGUGGCCAUGCUGGGGCACCGCCUUAAAGGGUUUUAGCUGAACAAACUGAUGCCAGGACUUUUUUUUUUUCAGCCUGAUACUUACUCUAUCAGUUUCUUUUGCGCAAACUUCUAAGUUUUGGGGAAAUAAACAUACCAUCAUUGGUCAUCAAGCAGUUGUUGGUAAUGGGGGUUAGGUGCAGACACAAAGACACAUCUAGAUAUAUAUACAUUCCUAUAUAUAUAUGUGUGUGUAUAUAUGUAUAUGUAUAUAUAUGUAUAUGUAUAUAUAUAUAUAUAUAUAUAUAUAUAUAUAUAUGUGUGUGUGUGUGUGUGUGUGUGUGUGUGUAUAUAUAUACAUACACACAUACAUAUAUAUAUGUAUAUAUGUGUGUGUAUAUAUAUAUAUAUAUAUAUAUAUAUAUUUAGUGUAGGAAGAAAUGGAGCUGAACGAAGAUUUAACAAAAUUCCUUUUUAUUAUUUUCUACAUAUGUUUCAAAAGCUGCAAAGUCCCUAAUUCGGAUUGAAUGAGUCCAUUUUGCAGCCUUCUCUAGGAUGGGCAUGAGCAUAGUUUUUGAUAACGAACUUACCAAGGCAAAUUUCUUAGAUGUCACACUAAACCUGCAUAGCGAUUCUUACUGCCCCUACCACAAACCUUCCACUAACCUAAAGUAUGUCAGUGUUUUCUCUAACCACGCAAAAACUAUAACAGACAAUUUAGUUAAAAAUAUUUCUCAAAGAUUAACAAAUUUAUCUGCCAACGUCGACAUUUUUAGGCAGAAAGCGGAAUUUUAUAAUGCCGCCCUGUCAAAAGCCGGUUAUAGGGAGAAGGUAGCAUAUAUAGACCCGGCCCUUCCGAAACCAGCAUUCUAUCAUCAGGAUAAGUCAAGUUACAAUAACAUAAAUAAUAUAAGUAGUGAUGGUAGCCUGAGGAAUGUUGAUACAAGUACAACUAGCAUAAAUAAUUUGCGGACCAGGGGAGGCCAUCGUAGGCCAAAACCCAUUAUUCAACCCAGAGAUACCCACCUUAAUGUUAGAGUUGACUCUCCGAGCCAGUACAAGAACAGGAAAAACUAUAUUUGGUUUGUAAUUCCCUUUGGUAAACAAAUAAGAUCUAACCUACAGUUGCAGUUUCGCCAAGCAAUUGCCAGAAAUUUUCCCAGAAAUUCGAGAUAUUACUCCACUGUAAAUUCGCACAAAGUUAGGAUAGCCUUCUCCAAUACUAAAAAUCUUUCACAGAUAAUUUCCUCCCAUAACAAUAAGCUGCUAAAUAAGGCCCUCUCACCCAUGAGCGGAGACUCUGCUCCAUCUAAUUCCAACAUAACGCGCAGUAAUAAUAAUAAUAAUAAUAGAACUGGCACAGAUAUUAGCAACCUCCAUACCAACAUUGGAGUUAGUAAUAGUAAUAAGGAUAAGAGCAAUGAUCUCGUCAUUAACGUAGGGGGAGUAAGUAAUGGUAAUAGGGAUAAGAGCACUGAUCUAGUCAUUAAUGUAGGGAGUCCCAACAAUAAUAUUAGCAGCGGUUUUAACAACGGUAGUAUUACGGACAUUAUCAAUCACAGCAUUCACAGUAACAGGGAAUAUGCAGGUGAUAUUGCCUUAAAUAGUAAUGAUAAUGGGGUGAAUAAUAUCGAAUCCAGCGGUAGUUUUUACAAUCAUCAUAGUAAUAAGAACGCUGUAUUAAUAUCGGAAACCAAUCCCAAUAGAUUAAGGUUCUUAUCUAGUAACUCCAAGAUUAGAAACGCCAUUUACCAGUGCAGAGUUUAUACUGAUUCAGAUGUCUACAUUUAUAUCGGAGCUUCAUCAUCGAAAUUGGCUGUUAGAAUAUCGAAUCAUUUUUCCACGUUCCGUGAUAAGGAAAAGCAACACGCUACGGGGCUAAGCAAAUUAGUCUGGCGUUUGAAGAACGCGAAUUCAACUUUUAGACUGGAAUGGUCAAUUUUAUCGGUGUCUUUACCGUUUGAUAAGGGCAAAAAAAUCUGUGCUCUUUGUAACUCAGAACUCUUUCAUAUUCUGUUCGCCCGAGGGCACCUUGUUAACUCGAUUGUGCAAAAUUCUUUCAGAUGCCCCCACUGGAAACGGCAUACAUUUCUCUCAUACCAAUGAAGUCUAAUAUAGUUAACCCCUUGAUUUCCUAAGAAAAUUGAAAAAAAUUUGAAUUAAAUUUGUAAGGGGAUAUCCCUUCCCUGUUAGUAUAAGAACUGCUAGUUGUCUAGAACUGCUGACAUCCCUGACAGCAGCACUGUAUCCUGCCAUGACCAUUGUGGACACCCCCUCUCUUUAUCAAGUGGUUACAGACGAACACACAGACAGUCUUUUCUGUUGCUUGACCAUUAAUACCUGCUAUAUCUCUCUCUCUUGCUGCCUUCGAAACACACUGCCACACAUACAUAGACGCACACACACAUACAUGAAAGCAAUUUCUCACACUCAAACACUCAGGCACUCAUUCUUAAAAUAAUUCAAAUAUUAACACCAGUCAUACAAAAUACAUUCACACUCUUUGAUUUUCCUGUACUCCCCUUCUGCUAACCGGAUUUUGACCUUGAAUUAUCUCAACGGACCUUCUCGUCUGCUUUCACCCAGCCUGGCGUCAACGCAUAUAGAUAGACAGUUUGUGCCAUUUAUUCCAUGGGCUCCUCGUGAGAGUUUGUCGAAAAGCUUGCUGUGCAUUUUGUUGGAGAAUUUAGUUCCUGGAUUUUCCUGAAGAGAAGGCUGCAAAAUGGACUCCUUAUUCAAUCCAAAUUAGGGACUUUGCAGCCUUUGAAACAUAUGUAGAAAAUAAUAAAAAGGAAUUUUGUUAAAUCUUCGUUCAGCUCCAUUUCUUCCUACACUAAAUAUAUAAAACUUCAAAUUUCCGCACUAAGGCACGGAUUUUAGGCCCCGUGGUCGUAACCUCAACCGUGCUUUUUCUGUUGUGAUUUUUGAUACCCAGGUAUCAGUUAGCAUUUGAAUUAUCCGUAAUAAGAUAAUUCAUUUAUCUACUUAUAUAUAUAUAUAUGUAUCUACAUACACACACACAUAUAUAUAUAUGUAUAUAUGUGUAUGUAUAUAUAUAUAUAUAUAUAUAUAUAUAUAUAUAUACAUACAACCGAUGCUGAUGUGUUUACAUCCCUGUAACUUAGCGGUUCAGCAAAAAGGACUGUUAGAAUAAGUACUAGGCUUACAAAGAAUAAGUCCUGGGGGGCGAUUUGCUCGACUAAAAAAGCAGUGCUCCAGCAUGGCCACAGUCAAAUGACUGAAACAAGUAAAAGAGUAUAUAUAUAAAUACACACACACACACACAUAUACUCACACACAAAUCUAUCUAUAAAUAUAUAUAUAGAUAGAUAAACACACACACACACACACACACACAUAUAUUACUUGUACACACACACACAUACACAUCUCUAUAUAUAUAUGUGCACAAUACUAUUUACCUGCCAGCAGAAUUCCCCAUUGAUUUCUCUAAGUUCAACCUGACUUUUCCGUUCAUUACUCCAUGCUAGUUUCUCCAAACCUUUCAUCAUUAUCUUAAUUUAUAAUUAAGCCGAAUCACUAAUUUGUUUUCUUUCCAACAAUAAUUACCUUAUCACUUGAUCUGUUUGUUUAAAACUCUUCAUCUGUCCCUGAGUCACUCUGGCUGACCCUUGUAUUAAUCCAUCUUUGUGAAAUCCAUCGACUGACUUGAUACACAGCCUUCUGCUGUGUUGUAAUUGUACAAACCUUUUUUAUGUGUCCAAGCAAAGAAAAGAUUAUUAUUUGCUAAGGUUUUUUUUUUAUGGGAGCGAGAGAUAGAGGGAGAGAGAGAGAGAAAGAGAGAGAGAGAUGAAUGCAAUGAUUGAGUUGUUAUCUCGAUGUUGUUUUUGUUGGAUUGAUUCUACACCAUGUGUAAGAGAACACUAAAUGUUGUUGCUGUUGUAGUUGUUGAUGACGACAAUAAUAAUGAUGAUGAUGAUGAUGAUGAUGAUGAUGAUAAGGAGGAGGAGGAGGAUAGUAGUGGUGCUGGUGGUAGUGGUGGUGGUGGUGAUUAUGGUGGUGGUCAUGGUCAUGAUGAGGAUGAUGUUAGCAGUGUUGAGAGUGAUGGUGUUGUUGUCAAUGAUGGUGAUGUUAAUGAUGAUGAUGAUGGUGACAAUGAUGUUCAUGAUGAUGAUGAUGAUGAUGAUGAUGAUGGUUAGGAGGAGGAGAAAGAGGAGGAAGCAGAAGAAGAAGAGGAUUGUUAGUCGUUUUAAAUGAUCUCCAUACUUAUCUGAGUGGAGCUUAUCAUAAUACCUCUGCCUUCGCUAAGACAGCGGUAAUAAUGAUAAUAAUAGCAGUACCAGGCAUUGACUCUCUUGGCUUCUGAUCUUAACUGAUUGGAAGUGUUAUCAUGUAUAUAUUUUGUCUUGGUAUAAAAGAUGGGCUACAACAAAUAUUCUGCUCAAUACCACAGAUUUGCUUCUCAGUUGCUUGACCUUAACCAGAUGAGCAUGUCCCUUAGUGGCUGACGAUAUGUGUAUCUCUGAUCAUGAGCAGAAGUAGUGGGGGAGCAUCAUAGCCAUAUGUUGAAAGGAAAUCUUUGGGGUUUGAAUAAUUGACCUCUGAAAACAUGGGUGUUUUGUUUGUCAUCCUUAAACAACCCUCAUUCAGAGACUUUUUGAACAGGAUGGGCUACUUGACCUGAAGAAAACAUGCAGCUAAAAAGUAAAUUACAGUGAUGAUGAUGAUGAUAAUAAUAAUAAUAAUAAUAAUAAUAACAAUAAUGAUAUAUUGUGCUGGUGUCACAUGAAAAAAUAUUCAAGCGAGAUAGUUGCCAGUGCUGGUGGACUGGCUCCUGUGCAGGUGGCAGAUAAUAAAAAUCCAUUUGAGCAUGGCCGUUGCCAGUACUGCCUGACUGGCCCUCGUGCCAGUGACACGUAAAAGCACCCACUACACUCUCAGAGUGGUUGGUGUUAGGAAGGGCAUCCAGCUGUAGAAACUCUACCAGAGCCUGGUGCAGCCAUCUGGUUUUCCAGUCCUCAGUCAAAUCGUCCAACCCACGCUAGCAUGGAAAGUGGACGUUAAACGAACAAUGCCCUCUGUGUGAUUUGAACUCAAAGCACAGAGAUUUAGAACAAAUAUUACACAGUAAUUUGUUCUAUGUUCUAACAACUCAGCCACUUUGCUAGUUAUGAAGCAACUCCUACGUGAAAAUGAAGCAGAUAUGUUGUACUAACACCAGCUUUCACUUUCACAAUGACACAGUUGCACACAUCUUAGGAACAGUGAAAGGCAGCUAAGUGAAACAGUAGAAGCUUGCAAGAAACUGUGGACAAGAUGACAAAUAUAAUAAUUAGUGUAGUAUUACCUGGGGAUAUAGAGUAAUAUUUCAAUAUCUUGAAAUGCUAAAAUGGAAAUAAAGAACAGUAAAUGUUGAUAAGCCUGGAACUGUAAUUAUGUUAAAAUGUAAGAAGAUAGAUACAAUACCUGCAGUCUUCAUGAAUCUUAAGAAUGGUUUGUAAUAGACAAAAUUUAUGGUUAGCUUUCUUUUAUCUUUUACUAGUUUCAGUCAUUUGACUGCAGCCAUGGUGGGCCACCAUCUUGAAGGACUUAUUAUCUUUUUGAAGCCUAGUACUUAUUCUGUCAGUCUAUUUUGCCAGACCACUAAAUUAUAGGGAAAUAAACACACCACCACCAUUAUUUACAUUAUUUACAUUUGACAGAUAUUUGUCCUCAUUUUGUUUGUUGUUAAUCCGUUUCGGCUGAUAUACUCUUCAGCCUUCAUCAGGUGUCUUGGGGAAAUUUCAAACCUGGGUUCUCAUUCCUAAGGUUGUCAAGUGGUGGGGGACAAAUACAGACACAAAGACACACACACACAGAUAUAUACCUGUUGUAAUUUAGUCAUCCAUAGGCACAGGAGUGGCUGUGUGGUAAGUAGCUUGUUUACCAACCACAUGGUUCCGGGUUCAGUCCCACUGCGUGGCACCUUGGGCAAGUGUCUUCUACUAUAGCCUCGGGCCAACCAAAGCCUUGUGAGUGGAUUUGGUAGACGGAAACUGAAAGAAGUCUGUCGUAUAUAUGUAUAUAUAUAUGUAUGUGUGUGUGUUUGUGUGUCUGUGUUUGUCCCCCUAGCAUUGCUUGACAACCGAUGCUGGUGUGUUUAUGUCCCCGUUACUUAGCGGUUCGGCAAAAAGAGACCGAUAGAACAAGUACUGGGCUUACAAAGAAUAAGUCCCGGGAUCGAGUUGCUCAAUUAAAGGCGGUGCUCCAGCAUGGCCACAGUCAAAUGACUGAAACAAGUAAAAGAGUAAAAGAGUAAAAGAGUCUGGUAUGAUAUUUUUGAAUAAUAUUCCUUCUUCAGAUAUUCUUAGAUGGAGUCGCUGGAAGGUGCAUCGUGAGACCACUGCUGAGACACUUCCACAAUAUAAGAAAGAAAAGCCGUUAGAAAACCGAUUAUAGCAGCGACUUCAUCUAAGAAUAUCUGAAGAAGGAAUAUUAUUCCGAAAUAUCAUAUCAGACUAUGGAUGACUAAAUUACAUCAGGUAUAUAGCCCAUGGUCUAUAUUAUAGUGCAUUGUUGCCCUGUACCUAUAGAUACAUUUUGUUAUUGGAAACUUCUGGAAUAUCAGAAAACAUAGGAAAUCUAUGGUAUAAGUCCUUAGCAGCAAUUUGUCUGUCUUUACAUUCUAGGUUCAAAUGCCGCCAGGGUCAACUUUGCCUUUCAUCCUUUUGCAGCAAAAUCUUUAGUGACAUUUUGUCCAUCAUUAUGAUCUGGGUUCAGAUGCUGCCAGGGUCGACUUUGCCUCUUGUCCUUUUGAAAUUGAUGAAAGAAGUCCCAGUUGAGAACUGGUGCCAACAUUGCUGGCCUUGUACCGAAAUUUGAAACCAAUAUUAAUAAAUUUAUUACCGUCAUCAUCAUUGUUGUAAUUGUUGUCAUCGUCAUUGUCAUUUUGGUGUUUACUUUUCCAUGCUGGCAAGGGUUUGAUGGGUCUGUUUGAGGCAGUUUUAUGGUCGGUUACCCUUCAUGGUACCAACCCUUUUACUUGUCUCUUACAACAGACAAGUAAUACACAUCGCCAAUGCUCAAAACCUGAGAUUUAGGUGAUGACCGUGGUAAUGUGUGUAUUAUUCAUAUCAAAGGAUAUGAUGGUGCAAGAAAUGAGUUGUUUUUUUUUGUUUGAUUCUGGGUCACUAUUGGUUAAGCUGAUCUAUGAUCUAAGAAAUUCUAGCUGUAACUAUCUUAUCUUUUACAUAUAUAUAUAUAUAUAGAAAAUCUGGUACCAAAUAAUCCAAUGUGUCCUAUUUUAAGACAACUGUGUAUGAUUGUAGGAUAUUUGGCUACUGUUUCUAGCUGGCUCACUGAGCAUGUAAAGGCUCCCUCACUGUUUAAUGAUUGUUUUGGUGAAUUUAAAAGAGACAAAAUGAUCCUCUUCCUAUUGCAUACAUACAUACAUACAUACAUACAUACAUACAUACAUACAUACAUACAUACAUACACACAUACAUACAUACAUACAUACGUACAUACAUACAUGUUCUUAUACUGUAUUAUAAAUAAUUUUUCUACUUUUGUUUUGUUUUUUUUUCUUUGGUAGCUGCUUCUUAAAGGACAAUUUCAACAGUUCCUGAACUCGGCCUGUCUUAGAUUAUGUGGAUGGACAGUUUGACUUUUUCAUAUUCAAGAACAAUUUAGUUCAGUUCUUUGUUAAUAAUCAAUCAUCUGAGAUAGUUGUUUUGUAUGUUGUUUUUUAUUAAGUUGGCAAAAAAAUGAAAUAAAAUAACCAACAAAAACAACAACAACAAAACCUUCAAUUUGGAGGAAUUCAAUUUUUAUCUCACUUUAGUCUGAUUUUUUGUUCAACUAUUUUUAUUAAAUUAACAUAAAAUUUCAUGCUCCUUUAUAAUAUUUUUUGAACAAUAUAUCCAAGUGUAACUGAUUGUCUUCUUCCAUAUUUUUUGAUAAAUGUUUUCAAAUUAUUUGCAUAUCUUGUUUUGAAAGAACUGGCUCUCAUCUGUAGCCAACGACCUUUCAAACACUGACUGUAAAUCAUUCACAUCAUUGUUUAUUAAUUACCAAUUAAACAAGGAAUAUUAUCUUUAUUCUUUUUACAUCUAUAAAGACAUUUUAAUUAAUGCUCAGAACCAAAAUUUGCUUCAUAGAAAGAAAAUAACAGUAGACUCUUUUUCAUACAAUUUUACAUAAGAAAUACAAUUCAGAGAUUUAUGAACAUAUAUUCUCAAAAAAAAAAGAAAGCAAAUAUUUUUCAAAUUCUUCUGGGUGUUUCAGCUAACACAAUAAAAUUUGUUACACCAUUAUUUAAAAACUUCUCAAUGGAGGAUUUUUGAAAAUGUUUAUUCGAUAAAAAAUAAAAAAGAUAAAAGUACAAACAAAACAAUGCAAUAAUACAAAGGGGUUUUACGUGACGAAACAGAAUUUUCUUAAAUAAUUUCUUUGCUUGCUAUUUAGAAUAGAUAUUUCAUAACAUUUAAGGCAAUGCCUGAAUAUAUUACUAUAUUUUAAAUUUCAAAGAGACACUACCACUAGAUUGCUGUGAGUUGAUUGAUACUACUACUACUACUACUACUACUACUUCUUCUUCUUCUUCUUCCACUUCUUCUUCUUCCACUACUACAACUACUACUACUUCCACUAUUACUACUAUUACUACUGCUACUACUAGUGCUACUACUACUACUACUACUACUACUACUACUACUUCCACUACUACUUCUACUACUACUACUACUACCACUACUACUACUACUACUACUGCUGCUGCUGCUGCUACUACCACUACUACUACUACUUCCACUACUUCCACUACUGCUACUACUACUACUACUACUACUGCUGCUGCUGCUGCUGAAUAAAUCAGAACUGUUUCUGAGCACAAUAAAAGCCAUUUUCUAUUCGCUGCUUUGCAGUCUGAGUUGACAAACUUUGUGCAUAGAUUCAUUGAAAGACGGCACUCAGAUGAAGCUUCCAUUCAACAAGUUUAUAUACUCUUUGAGAAACUGAAUCAUCAGUAUACUGAUAUCCAUUUUAAGUGGUUAAAAUUACUGAUACUCUGAUAUCAAAUUUAAUAGAUUUCUUCAAUAAUUCAUUUUUAAAUAUGGCUCUAUUUUUUGGUGACCAAAAAUCAUUUGUAUUCCUUCCGUUUUUCAUAUUAAUUAUUCUUAUUGCUAUUGUCUUGUAUGAUCUGGUUGGUUUACUCUUGAGGAUUGCUUUAAAUACAUAAAACCGAUUUCUAACAUAGGUAUAAAAAAAUGAUUUUAUUACUAUUUGAGGUUGACUUUGCCUUUCAUCCUUUUGGAGGUCAACAAAAAGUACUUUGUUGAGUACUUUGGUCAAUGUAAUCAAUAAGUUUCCUUCCUCACAAAUUUUAGGGUUUGUGCCAAAAUUUGGAAGAAUUAUUACCAUCAUUAGAUGGUGAGCUGGUAGAAUGAUUUGUGUGGCAAAGAAAAUGUUUAGUGGCAUUAUUUCUAGUUCUUUCUGUUCUGAUGUCAAAUCCCACCAAAGUCGGUUUUGCCUUUCUUUAUUUCAGAAUUUACUAAAAUAAAGCCAAUAGAAUUAAUUCACUUUCUUCCCCACGACUAAAAUUUACUGACUUUGUGCCAAAAUAUAAAACUACUGUUCUUCUUAUUAUUAUUAAUCUUCUUUGUGGUGAGAUAGUGUAUAGAAAAUUAAAUCCACCCCAGAACUCAACAUGGUACACCCAAUUUUAUGUUAUAUACAACCUGGAAGAAUAAAAGACAAAAACUGAUCUCGGUGUGAUCUGAACUCAGAACAAAGAGGAUUAUGAAAAAAUAUCACAGGAUUGUCCAACACAUUAAUGACACUGCCAGUCCCUCAGCUAAGCUUUAAUUACAUUUGAUUCUACAGGAAGGUUUUUAAUCAAUGUGUUCUAUUGUGGUGUAAUGGAAAUUUGAAAACUCAAAUGAAACAAGAAAGAAGCCAUUUUGCAUAUAUAUAUAUAUAUAUAAACACAUGAUAUCCAUGCUCUAGCAUGGAACAUGGAUAUUAAAUAAUGAUGAUUAAAUACAUGCAUACUCGAUUUUAAAAUUUUCCCCCUGUGUGUGUAUGUGUGUAUAUAUAUAUAUAUUAUAUAAAAUCCAUUCUGUGUGUGUGUGUGUGUGUGUGUGUGUGUGUGUGUAUGUCUUCUAGGAUCUCGGGCAUCCUCCAUCUGAUUGCGCUCAAAUUUGAUAUGUAGAUACCGACAGUAUCAGGGCGUGUAUAAGUCUUGAAAAAAUUACAAAAAUCGAUUCCAGGUGAGAAUACGAUCGACAAAGCCAUGGGAACGGGCAUUUGUACGCACAAGUAUAUCAGCUGUUGCGAUGUACUUACUGGUACUUUAAACUCUUCGGUUGCAUAUUUGUAUGAAUAAAAUCGUUUUUCUUUGGAAUAGAGAAAAGUCUAUCUUUAUUUGCUCUUUUGCUGGUGUCUCAAAUUUAGGUUAAAUCAGUGUUUCUCAAAAGGGAGGCCUAUUGGACGGUCGGACAAGUUGUUUUGAGAAAAUUUGGUUUAAAUGUUUGACAACUCAGCACCGUCCAUUGGAUGAGGGGCGUUUUGCUUGUAUAUAUAUAUAUAUAUAUAUAUGUAUAUAUAUAUACAGAGAUAUACAUAUAUAGACACAUGCUUACAUAUAUGUGAUAUAUCUAUAUAUAUAAAACUCAACUUGUGUGUCUGUGUGUGUAUCUGUGUGUGUGUCUGUGUGUUUAACUUCCCGGCACAUCUCCUUCUAGCCAACAAAUCGUAGAACCACCAAAAAUGGGUCACUUAAAGUUUAGGCGAAUGAAAAUAUAACUGCGCUAUUUCUGUUCCGAAAUUCAUCUCGCAAGUGCAAAAAUCGAUAAUGUGUUUGUUUAGGCCUUAUCCCAUGCAUUGAAUAGUGAGCUUUACUCAGUCAGUUGUUUGACGCGAACUGUGUUCACCAUGCGUGCAAGCAUGCGUAAAUUGCAUGAAAAAUAAAAAAAUCAAGAUAUAAAAACAAAUCGCCAUAAACAUUGUAGAAAUUCAGCAAAGAAAUGAAUCUUCGGAAUGUAGCCUGGAGGGUUUUUUCGUAUUAAUCGUUUGGACUUUGUGAACACAUACCAAUUGUUUUCAUAACAUUUUUAACUCUUUGAAUUAAAUGUGACCAUUUUGCAUUGAGUCUGCAGUUUGAAUCACUUUAACCAAAUUUUAGCAGGCCGGAUUUUUGAUCAUCACGAUACAUCGCCAGCGACUCCCUAAAACCCUCCCCUGAAAACCCCGUUGAGAAAUACUGAUCUAAAAGAAUAAUUCAACAAUGCAAUUAUUUGAUCGACAAAAAUUUAUGAAAUGCUUCUACGUACUUCCUAUUGAAGAAAUGGAACACAUAAGUGCAAAAAUAGAGGGCAUUAAAUGCUUGAUUUUAAAACCAAAAUAAUUGAAUUUUGAUUGAACUUCAUCCAAGUUUAGCUUAAUUCGCGCGUGCAUAGAACGCACAAGCGCAUGAGCCGGGCAAUACUGCUAGUACAUAUAUAAACCAACACAUACAUAUACAUAUAGAAACAUGCAUACAUAUAUGUGAUAUAUAUAUACACACAUACAAACGCACACAUAGGUAUGGGUGUAUGUAGGUAUAUAGCUUUAAUUGAUUUUCUGCUUUAAGUAUUUAUACAUUGUGAAUAAGGCCUUUUAUUGAUAACUAAGUCUGUUAAUGACUACUGGCAACCCUGAGUAAUUUUCACACAGAACACGGCUACAUUUAUGAAACAAAAGAGUAAAUACUAUGCUACCAGAAAGACAUUACUGUGCGACUGUUCCGACAUCUUUUAGAAAGUUUUAUUGUGAAUAUGUAAUAACUUCUCAACUGAGAUCCGGUAUGUAAUCAUCUUCAAAUUGAAUUCAUAAAAUUAAUACUGAAUGCAAAAUUCUACACUUCAGGUAUCCGGAAUAAAUUUGUCAAAAAUAGUGAUUAAACAUCUGUCAAUAAGAAAUUUUCUCAUAAAAAUCUUUUCCUCAUCAAUAUUUAAAAUCUCACGUUGUUUUCUCAAGACGCCACUUAAAUCUUUUUUCCAAUAUUCUAUUAUACAUUAUUUUCGCUGAUUAUUCGAUAACUUUCCAAUUUCCAAAGUUAAACACAGAAACAAAAUUGCUACCAGGUUUGUUCAAAAUUUAUUAAAUGCCUUUACAUCGAGGGAGAGUGUUAUUGGUUAUAUUUAACCCAAUAAGUUUGUGGGGCUGUGGGGGACUAAUAUACCCAACAACUAACCAAAGGGGGUUACCAGUGUUUAUUAGUUUAUUUCACCACAAGUGUUGAAUCAUAUCCAUAUCCAAAGCAGAGUUCAUUGAUAAAGAGUCAAUGUAGUUUUAAGUGUUGUUGAUAUUGUUUAACCUCAGAUAACUUUUGAAUCAGCAGACUUUUGAGUCAAUGAAGGGUUCUCAAUAGUGUAAUUUUAUUAUUUUAAAAAUAGCAGCUAAAUUCCCUUCAAAUACCAUAUUUUUACAUCUGAAACAAGAAGUAGGACACAAUAAGGGAUAUAAUCCCAGAGACUCUCUCACAAGAUAAUCAUGACUAAGGUGUAACUCUAAAUAACAUUCUCUAAGCUCUGUAAUUUACUACUGUAAGCAGUUGUUGUUGUUGUUCGUUCUUUUCAAGCUAUGCCUAGCUUAUACGGGCCGGUUUCCUGGUUUCAUUGGUGUAUAGGCUCCCCAUCUGGACAGGACAUAGGUCUGUCACUGGUGAGCUGCUAGAUGCAGGAAGAAAGAGCAAGAGAAAGUUGUGGCAAAAGAGUCAGCAGAGGUUCACCAUUACCUUCUGCCAGAGCGGCAUGGAGCUUAGGUGUUUCACUCAUAAACACACAUAUCACCCAGUCUGAGAUUUGAACCCAUGAUCCCUUGAUCACAAGUCUGCUGCGCUAACCACACUGUAAGCAGUAGCAAUGUAAAAUUGAAGAGUAAGUGUUUCACUGGCUUUCAGUGUUGAGUACUUCCAUUAAGAAAAACUAUUUGUGGUAGAGCAAUGUCCUUUCCAGGGCUGGAAUGUAGCUGAUGGUGUUUGUCUCACUUGUUUGUCUCACUGCCUUUGUAGCCAUAUUUCUGUUAAACUAUUGUGUCUUUCAAUAAUUUUGAAAAUAGUUCAAAAUUUAGUAAAAUAAUUUUGUCAUUAUUAAAUCGGUGUUUAUAACUUAAAUUAUCAUAAAAUUUUGAUGGAAAGUUUUAAGUUAGAUCAUUAAGUUAGAUCUUUGGAAUCAGAAUGUAUUAGCUUUAAUAGCAACAUUCAGUGUUUUGGUUUUUCUUUUUUUCUUUUUCGUUUUUCUUUUUUCGUUUUUUUUUUUUUUUUGCUAGAGGUGAUGAACUAGCAGGAUUAGUAGAGCAGAAAAUAGAACAUCAUGUGGUACUUAGUUAAUAAUCCUAAUGUUCUGAGUUCAAAUCUUAUUGAAGACAAGUUUAUUUUGAAAUUGGUAGAAUUAUGUACCUGGGAAAUAUCGGCAUCAAUAUAAUCAACAAUACACCUAUCUCAGCACAAAUUUGCACCUACUUUAUAAUCAAAUACUGAUCUUAUUCUUAAAUCUCAUAAUCCUAUAGUUUCUUCUUCUUUUUAUUGUAUUUUAAAAUUGACACCCGAACAGUAUUUAUAUCUAUCAAAUUUAUUUAUUUUCCAAUGUUGUCUAAUCUUUGUCUAAUAUAGUCACUGCAAACUUCUCUGGGAUACUACAAGAAUAUGCAUGAAAGGAAUACGAAAUUUAUAUAUUUUAUCUCUUUUCUUACAUUGAUCAAAUCAGACCUACCUCUUAAAAUCUGAUGUCUCUUUAUAUAAGACAAGACUAAAUCUCUGUACGCGACACAAAACAUUAUCUCGUUUAAUAUUUCUUUGUCAGUUCACUCUAUCUACAAAGAUAAUAUAGGUGACAUUCUUUCAUGAUAAAUAUUUUCAUAAUGGUUAAACGAAAUCGCACUUAUUCUUUUCUGACACUAAGUUAUAAUGCAAAACUAACAUCACAACUAUUGUGACAAGUUAUUUCUACAAAAUUCAUUAAAUAACGAAUAUAUAUAUACAUAUAUAUACAUAUAUAGGUGUGUAUGCAUGUGUAUAUCUAUCUAUCUAUCCAUAUAUAUAUAUAUAUAUAUCUACACACACACAUACCAAAUAUAUUAAUAUUUAUAUAUAUAUAUGCACAUACAUAUAUAUACAUACAUAUAUAUAUGAAUAUAUAUAUACAUACAUACAUACAUAUAUAUAUUUAUACACAUAUACACACACCUAUGUUUACACAUCUACGGAUAUAUAUUGUGCAUGUGUGUGUAUAUGAAUGUAUGUAUAUAUAUGUAUGUAUGUGUGUGUGUAUAUGUAUGUGUAUAUAUAUAUAUGUUUCUCUCUCUGUCUGUCUAUCUGUCUCUCUCUCUCUCUCUCUCUAUAUAUAUAUAUAUAUAUAUAUAUAUAUAUAUAUAUAAUAUGUAUGUAUACAUGAAUUGUUGUUUCCUGAAUACACAGGAAAUCUUUAUAAAUUUGCUUCACACAAAUGUCUGGUAUAUUUUCCUUAUUUUUCCGCAAAGAAUAUAAAGAAUGAAAUGAGUUGUUUGGUCUAUAACUGAAAUCUUUUUAUAUUUAUGUCACUUUUUUAAAGUAUACAAUUUUUUUCUAAAUCCACCUAAACAUUUAUACUGCAUUUCUCCAAAUUAAGAAAAAUUAUGAAUGACAAGAAACAGAGAAAAAUUAAAGAAUAAAUAUAUGUGGCUGAUAAUUGAUAAAAACUGGGUGAUUGUACUCACCAUUUUAGCAAGAAGCCUUUUGCUAAGAGGGAAAAACAAAAGAGGUGUUUCCUUUACUUUUUAUUUUUUUAAUUAAAAAAAUGAAACGUGAUAAAUGUCUACAAGGUAAUAUCAGUCUGAAGAGUAUUUGGUAUAUACGUAUAAAUUUUAUCACACACACACACACACACACAUGCAUACUUAUACAGAAAUUAGCUAUGAUAUAAAUCACUAAGAUUUAUGUGUGUGUCUCUGUGUGUGUAUGUAAAUAUAUUACAAUAUAUAAUAUAUAUAUAUAAUUAUAUGUAAUAUAUAUUAUGUAUAUAUAUUAUAUGGUCCAACCCAUGCUAGCAUGGAAAACGGACGUUAAAUGAUCAUGAUGAUGUUAUAUACAGGGUGUGGUGUAUAAACUGUCAUCUAAAAUGUGACAAAAUGAAGAUAACAGUGACAUCUCAUUUUAACAGAUAUAUUUACCAAAAUUACAUUAAAAUAUUUUCAGAACAAAUUUACUCAAUAAAAUCGCCUUUGGUUUCAACCUCGGCUGCCAGCAACUCUUCUGGAUGGUCUCCUUGUUUAAGUUGGUGAAUGCUGCCAUAAUCCUUGCCUUCAGUUCAUCUUUGAUGUUACAAGGAGUUUUGUUGGUCUCACACUCAACUACACCCCACACAUAAUAAUCAAGAGGGUUCCAGUCUGGCGAGUUAGGUGGCCUAAUGUUAGGGGUAAUGUUGUCACAAAUUGUCUGACAGCCAUGACUGGAUUCUCCUGCUGGUGCAGAAUGCUGCUGCUAGAAACAGGGUCUUCUAACAGCUAUCCUCUUGACCCAGGGCAGCAGUACUUCCUCCAGACACUUGAUGUAGGCCUCCAUGUUGAGUAUGAGGCCGUGUAGGAAGAUGAGGCAUAAUUUCACCAUCACUAGUGAUCACUCCAAACACCAUGGUGUUGACUGGAUGUUUGAUUUUUAUCACUCCCAGUACAUGUUUUGGGGACAUGAGCCAUCCAACAAUUGUUCUGUGUGUUUACCAUCUGUUCGUAUUGGAGCUUCUGACACAAAUGCCAAGCAGUGCAUGUCAUUUCCAAAUUUCUGGUUGAGUGAAUUGUACCAUAGUGCUGUUUUUCUCACAGAUGGUGCCUAAGUGACCCUACUAUACUAUGUAGUUGACAAGAUCAAAAACAAACAAUGUGCAUGUGUAAAAUUAAAAAUAUAAAAUGGCAACAAUUUAUCCAUCACACCCUGUAUAUGUAUGUAUGUAUACAUAUAUAUAUAUAUAUAUAUAUAUAUAUAUAUAUAUAUAUAUAUAUAAGCUAAAUUUAAAAUGAAAAAUCUAAGGUUUAGAAAGGCGGCAUUAAACGCAGUAUCCAAACCUUGUUUUGGAUAAGUCCCUGGUAGUGUGUCUGCAGAGUAUGUUCACCACUUAUGACUGCCAGCUGUCAUUGGCGUUACUGCUCAUUCAUUGCUGAAUCUAUGUCUGGAAUUCCAAGGUGUGCAUUGGGUAUAUUUUAAAUUAUUGAUACAGAAGACAGAGUGUAGCUAGAAGCUUUAUUAGCACAACAAUCAUUUCGGCUUUGUUCUGCAAUGCUCCCUAGUGAAUGUGGGACGAUGUAAUGAAUUGCUAGCAACACACCACCAGCAUAUAACUCGGAGCGAAAAUGAAAUGUAAAUCUGAUAACUUUUAAAGCAUGUCACAUCAGCUGAUGAGGCUCACUACACUGUGGAUUGCAUCUGAUGUCAUUACAUCAUCCUACAUCUACACAUGGGGCAGUGUAGAACGAAGUCAAAAUGACUAAUUACACUCCAUUUUCUUCCAUAUCAAUCAUUUAAAAUUUAUAUAUAUAUAUACAUAUAUAUAUAUAUAUAUAUAUAGAUAGAUAGAUAGAUAGAUAGAUAGAUAGAUAGAUAGAUAGAUAGAUAGAUAGAUAGAUAGAUAGAUAGAUAGAUAGAUAGAUAUACGGGUGUGUGUGAUUGUAUAUAGAAGAAUAUAUUAAUAAAAGGAAUUCCAACCUUGUCUGAUUUUCACGUUUUAUUUACAAUCUUAUAAUGAUAUAAGAUAAUAUAAUAUAAUAUAAUAAAAUAAAAUAAAAUAAUAGAAUGUUAAAUGUUCAUUCUGAUUGAACUAGUACUUUCAUGCAUUAAAUUCUGCAAUCUUCAGGUUCAUCUAGUAGUGGUGACAGUCAUGCUUCACAAUUCUUGACUGUGGGACAAUAUAUAUAUAUAUAUAUAUAUAUAUAUACACAGUAUGCAUGCAUAAACAUAAACAAACAUAUAUGUAUUUAAAUCUGACUGGUUCUCUUUUAUUUAAGUAAACAUACAAAUAUACAUAUAUAUAAACAUUCAGGUGUAUGCAUAUUUUCAGGCACUUUCAUACACUCUGCCAUAGUUUGGACAUUUGAUGGUUUAUCUCAUUCUAUUUUUUUCUCUUUCAAUUGUUCUGUAUUAUAUUUAUUAAGUGUGAGAGUAUUUUUCACAUGAAUUUGCCUAUGGGUGUAUGUAGAGAAACAUGGUCAUUCAAUGACAGAAAGAAAAUAAAAAGCAAAAAAUAAAAUAAAAUUUUAUGAAUAAGUGUUUCUUUUAUUAGAUUUAUCCUCAACCCAAAUUUGUACUGCAA
rnacentral:lncRNA from 1 species